rnacentral:rRNA from 1 species
UGAGUACGAGACGCUAAGGCGUCGAAGUAGUGGAUGUCAUACUUCCAAGAAAAGCUUGCACUGUCAUAGAUAAAAAAUGCCUGUACCAUAACCGACACAGGUGGGUAAGUAGAGUAUACUAAGGGGCGCGAGAUAACUCUCUCUAAGGAACUCGGCAAAAUAACUCCGUAACUUCGGGAGAAGGAGUGCCUUAUUCUUAAGGUUGCAAUAACAAGAUCCAAGCAACUGUUUAUCAAAAACACAGGUCUCCGCUAAGUCGUAAGACGAUGUAUGGGGGCUGACGCCUGCCCAGUGCCAGAAGGUUAAAGAAGUCGGUUAGCAAUAGCAAAGCUGGUAACUGAAGCCCUGGUGAACGGCGGCCGUAACUAUAACGGUCCUAAGGUAGCGAAAUUCCUUGUCGGGUAAGUUCCGACCCGCACGAAAGGCGUAAUGAUUUGGAUGCUGUCUCGGAGAGGGGCUCGGUGAAAUAGACUUGUCUGUGAAGAUGCGGACUACCUGCACCAGGACAGAAAGACCCUAUGAAGCUUUACUGUAACUUGAAAUUGAAAUUGGACUUUAUUCGCGCAGUAUAGGUGGGAGGCGUUGAUUAUAAUCUUGUGGGAUUAUUGGAGCCAUCAGUGAGAUACCACUCUUGUAAUGUUAGAUUUCUAACUUUGAAUCAUUAUCUGGUCAAAGGACAGUUUCAGGCGGGCGGUUUGACUGGGGCGGUCGCCUCCUAAACGGUAACGGAGGCGUACAAAGGUUUCCUCUGAACGGUUAGAAAUCGUAUCUAGAGUGUAAAGGCAUAAGGAAGCUUGACUGUGAGACCUACAAGUCGAGCAGGGACGAAAGUCGGUCUUAGUGAUCUGACGGUACUGAGUGGAAAGGCCGUCACUCAACGGAUAAAAGUUACUCUAAGGAUAACAGGCUGAUCUCCCCCAAGAGUUCACAUCGACGGGGAGGUUUGGCACCUCGAUGUCGGCUCAUCGCAUCCUGGGGCGGUAGUACGUCCCAAGGGUUGGGCUGUUCGCCCAUGAAAGCGGUACGCGAGCUGGGUUCAGAACGUCGUGAGACAGUUCGGUCCAUAUCCGGUGUAGGCGCUAGAAUAUUGAGAGGAGCCUUCUUUAGUACGAGAGGACCGAGAAGGACAUACCUCUGGUGUACCAGUUAUCGUGCCAACGGUAAACGCUGGGUAGCUAUGUAUGGAGUGGAUAACCGCUGAAAGCAUCUAAGUGGGAAGCCCACCUCAAGAUAAG